GUUGCGAUGAAUGGGCUCGGUGGCGGGGGCGUGGCUAACCGCACCCGUGGAAGCCGUCUUGGCAGCAAGCCAGGCCUGCUGAGGUACUAAGGCCGUGGUAUUGACCACCUCAGCGUUGAGAUGCGACAGGACGAGCGGACGGCUGCCGUAAACGGGUUCCAGUACAGCUGUCCUGCAAGCAGCAGGAAUCUCACUGCCUGACACCCAGGAUGUGAUGCAGAUAAGCCAGAGUGUGAAGAACUCAAACAAAGGAGUUCCCAAAGCAUCAGAAAGUUCACAGGAAUGUUUGAAUAAUGCAUGUAUCUCAGCUAUGUAACAGAAGAAUGAUAACAUUGUUUGUAUACCCCAGUGUGUUUUUUGGCUGUUGGCCAGGAGCACCUCAGCACUGGAAAUAUUGUCCUUUUUUUAUCCUAUUACUACUGCUAUUACUAUUAUUAUUAUUAAACUUUUAAAAACUGUAAGCAGUGAAUUCUGUUUUCACAGAAAGAAAGACUAUGUACCUUUCUUUGGUGUGAAAAAUGCGUAGUUUAUGAAUGGCUUUUCACACAUAAUAAAAUGAAUUUUAUAUGUGUUGUAAUAAGUAGCAAUACGUUUGUUCAUUAAUAGCUAGAUAAUUUAAAUUACAAAACAAUAGCUAAACAGCUCUUGUCUAGCAGGAUAUAAUAUAUACCUAUGUGCAGUCGCAUAUGGUAAAACCUUUAACUUCGUAGGAAUUGCUUUGUUUACAAACCCCCCCUCAUAGGUAUAGGAAACCCUCUGUAACAAGAUACAGGUACAUCUGGUAACAAUUAUUAACUUCGCUAGAAUUGCUUGGUUUGCAAAUUCCACCCCAUAGGUAUAGGAGACCCUCUGUAACUAGAUACCGCCACAUGUGGUAACAAUUAUUAACCUUGCAAGAAUUGCUUAGCUUGUAGAAUGUAGACUUAUAGAUAUGCCUUAUAAGGAAAGCGGCCAAAGAGGAAGACUUGGGGCCUUCAUCCCACAACCACCAGAAGGCAGAGAAAGACCCCCUAGCAACCGGAGGAGCAAGCGCAGAAGACAGACCACGUCAUCCAGGAAUCCGGAAGCAAGAGACAAUAAAAAGCGAACUUUAAAGGGGGAAAGGCGCGCGCCUAAGAGGAGUGGGGACUCCUGGCCGCCCAGCGCUGAACCUUGCUUAUUCUUGCUUGCAUAAUAAUAAAGAUAAUUAUACGAUUCUUAAA